AAAAUGGGUUGCGGUGGCUGUUUGAUGUUUCCAGUAUGGCUAAUCCUGCUGUUGACUGUGGCCUUUCCAAUUGCAUUUUUUAUGGCACCCGUUUACGUUUUAAUCCUCACAUUCAGCGAGAUUUGUUGUGGGACCUGUAAUGAAUGCAGUGAAUUUGUCCUGAAAUGUAUGAAGUUACCAGGAACAUGUGUCCACAAAAUGUAUCGAUGCGAAGGAUGUUGAUCUAAUUUAUUUAAUUUACCUCACAUUUCCAAAUAUUUAUUCUGUUUAUUACUAUUUUAUUGAUAAAAUGAUUCAAACAAUAAAUAUAUAUAUUUUUUA